rnacentral:rRNA from 1 species
UACGGGGGGGGCAAGCGUUGUUCGGAAUUACUGGGCGUAAAGGGCUCGUAGGUGGCCAACUAAGUCAGACGUGAAAUCCCUCGGCUUAACCGGGGAACUGCGUCUGAUACUGGAUGGCUAGAGUUUGGGAGAGGGAUGCGGAAUUCCAGGUGUAGCGGUGAAAUGCGUAGAUAUCUGGAGGAACACCGGUGGCGAAGGCGGCAUCCUGGACCAACACUGACGCUGAGGAGCGAAAGCUAGGGGAGCAAACAGG